GCAGAAAAGCCUGAUGCUUUUUACCUUACCCUACAUCCAGUCUAUAAAGAGAACAGAAUUAUCCAAGUGACAGCCUGGCAGAGAAGGCGAAGACCCAGAGGCGGGCGCCUUGCUGAACUGUGUGAGUGGGGCUGUUUGUCAGUUGGAACCUGGCCUAGAGUCUGGCUACUGCGUACUCCAGGUUGGCAGAGACAGGAAGAUGCCAUCUGGGGCACAUGGCCUAUUCUGAAGAGGAGCUCUGCAUCCUCAGUGGCGGGAAGAUGCCAUCAUCCAGCUUUUGUUUAGGACUGGAAAACACUGGACACUGCUUUGGGUGAGGUAAAGACCAUUUUUGGCCUCCGUAACUCUUUUCCCUGGUUUGUUAAAUAAAUCCCAUUGUCGUUCCCUGAACCUGAGUAGUCUUGCAAUUGUGCAUGUGGGUGAAGAACAUGGACAGUGACCGGUAAACUGUUCAGGCAGUGUCCUUGGCCAGUUUUAGUGCCACUUGCUGCCCUAUAUCACUUCCACUAUGGUCUACCUUCUUUGCCAUAGAACGUCUGAACUAGCUGGGGCUGCUUCAUUUGAUAGCUGCAGACACCUCUUUCUCCCGCUUUCACCUCCUUUGGGCACAUGAACAGUUUGGUCUGCAAUAUUGUGGCUAAUAGAUUAAAAAGGGAAAAAAUCCCAACCAGUCGCAGAUUCUUGGUCUCCUCCUACUUUGGUUUUGUUGUGAAUUUUCUUCACCUAGGGUUGUCAGUUCAGCAGAUCUCAAGACAGAUGACUGAGUGAUUGGAUAUGCAAAAUGUGUUUACUUUCUGGCUAAAGGCCCCUCUUUGCCAGGUCCCCCCUCAAAGAAGGGAGGUUCCACCUUGGGUGCAACACAGUAAGAUUGGGGCCCUGGUAGAGAGGCAGUGAUUGCACUCCCAGAGAGGCAAGCUGAGCAGACCUGAGGUUGCUGCCCUCCUCCCUCGCCAAGCAUUCAGCUCUUAGAAAGGCGAGCCGCUCAGAAGCUUGCUGUUGUCCCCUUCCCCAGAACUCUCAUGUGUCUUUUUGUGGGCGUCGUUUUUCAUUUCUCUCAAAUAACUAGAAGUGUAACUGCUGGGUCAUAUGACUAUAUAUUUGCAUUUUUAAAAUCCUGU